GAAGAAAAGGCUAGAGAGAAAGAGUUGAAAAAACUCAAGGCUGCACAAAAAGCCGAAGCAGCAAAACAGGCACAAGCCAGCUCCACUGUGUCAAAGACUGCUAAGAAGAAGAGCUCAAAAAGGGAUGGUGGAGAGGAGAACCCUGAGGAUUUUGUUGAUCCAGAAACACGUCUGGGGGAGAAGAAGAAACUCUCCCGAGAAAUGGCAAAGACUUUUAAUCCCAGUGCUGUAGAGAAAUCGUGGUAUGCGUGGUGGGAAAAGUCCAAUUUCUUUGUUGCAGACCCAAACAGCGCUAAACCACCUUUUGUGAUUGUCUUGCCCCCACCAAAUGUGACUGGUGCUCUCCAUAUAGGACAUGCACUUACUGCUGCCAUCGAGGAUACUAUUAUUCGUUGGCGGAGAAUGUCUGGA
rnacentral:misc_RNA from 1 species